AAAUGCGAUAAGUAAUGUGAAUUGCAGAAUUCAGUGAAUCAUCGAAUCUUUGAACGCACCUUGCGCUCCUUGGUAUUCCUUGGAGCAUGCCUGUUUGAGUAUCAUGAAAUCUUCAAAGUAAAUCUUUUGUUAACUCAAUUGGUUUCUACUUUGGUAUUGGAGGUCUUUGCAGCUUCACACCUGCUCCUCUUUGUUCAUUAGCUGGAUCUCAGUGUUAUGCUUGGUUCCACUCGGCGUGAUAAGUUAUCUAUCGCUGAGGACACUGUAAAAGGUGGCCAAGGUAAAUGCAGUUGAACCGCUUCUAAUAGUCCAUUGACUUGGACAAUACUUUUAUGAUCUGAUCUCAAAUCAGGUAGGACUACCCGCUGAACUUAAGC
rnacentral:misc_RNA from 1 species